UACGGGGGGAGCAAGCGUUGUUCGGAUUUACUGGGCGUAAAGGGCGCGUAGGCGGUUAGCACAAGUCAGUUGUGAAAUCUCCGGGCUUAACUCGGAAAGGUCAACUGAUACUGUGCGACUAGAGUGCGGAAGGGGCAACUGGAAUUCUCGGUGUAGCGGUGAAAUGCGUAGAUAUCGAGAGGAACACCUGCGGCGAAGGCGGGUUGCUGGGCUGACACUGACGCUGAGGCGCGAAAGCCAGGGGAGCGAACGGG
rnacentral:rRNA from 1 species